AACGGAGGGAGGAUUUAGCCUACAACGCAGCCUCAAUUUCAUACCAGCCCAGUGUGUGAGAUGAGACCAGAAGGAGCCUGCCCAAGUUUGGCUGUGAAUUGCAGAGGCUCACAGCUCCUGCUGCCCUUUAAAGAUGUUUCUGAUGUUCCUUAAUCCUGGCUCUCACCCAUUCAUUCUGACUCCAGCUGUAACUUGAAUUUGCGGAUAAUUAUGUUUUUCUGAUGGACUUGUGCUUUGCAGGUGAUUUUCAGAAAUGUGUUUGUAUUAAUCAGAAAUGUGUGAGAUACACGCAACUAAAAGCUUUAAAAGGGGAUGAGGAGAUUGAGCAGUGAUUUUGAGGGUUUCUCUUGGUUCUUUGUUGCUGUGUUUCCCUCUACAAUCCCUUCC